rnacentral:rRNA from 1 species
AUAAUGGGUCAGCGACUUAUAUUCUGUAGCAAGGUUAACCGAAUAGGGGAGCCGAAGGGAAACCGAGUCUUAACUGGGCGUUAAGUUGCAGGGUAUAGACCCGAAACCCGGUGAUCUAGCCAUGGGCAGGUUGAAGGUUGGGUAACACUAACUGGAGGACCGAACCGACUAAUGUUGAAAAAUUAGCGGAUGACUUGUGGCUGGGGGUGAAAGGCCAAUCAAACCGGGAGAUAGCUGGUUCUCCCCGAAAGCUAUUUAGGUAGCGCCUCGUGAAUUCAUCUCCGGGGGUAGAGCACUGUUUCGGCAAGGGGGUCAUCCCGACUUACCAACCCGAUGCAAACUGCGAAUACCGGAGAAUGUUAUCACGGGAGACACACGGCGGGUGCUAACGUCCGUCGUGAAGAGGGAAACAACCCAGACCGCCAGCUAAGGUCCCAAAGUCAUGGUUAAGUGGGAAACGAUGUGGGAAGGCCCAGACAGCCAGGAUGUUGGCUUAGAAGCAGCCAUCAUUUAAAGAAAGCGUAAUAGCUCACUGGUCGAGUCGGCCUGCGCGGAAGAUGUAACGGGGCUAAACCAUGCACCGAAGCUGCGGCAGCGACGCUGAUGCGUUGUUGGGUAGGGGAGCGUUCUGUAAGCCUGUGAAGGUGUGCUGUGAGGCAUGCUGGAGGUAUCAGAAGUGCGAAUGCUGACAUAAGUAACGAUAAAGCGGGUGAAAAGCCCGCUCGCCGGAAGACCAAGGGUUCCUGUCCAACGUUAAUCGGGGCAGGGUGAGUCGACCCCUAAGGCGAGGCCGAAAGGCGUAGUCGAUGGGAAACAGGUUAAUAUUCCUGUACUUGGUGUUACUGCGAAGGGGGGACGGAGAAGGCUAUGUUGGCCGGGCGACGGUUGUCCCGGUUUAAGCGUGUAGGCUGGUUUUCCAGGCAAAUCCGGAAAAUCAAGGCUGAGGCGUGAUGACGAGGCACUACGGUGCUGAAGCAACAAAUGCCCUGCUUCCAGGAAAAGCCUCUAAGCAUCAGGUAACAUCAAAUCGUACCCCAAACCGACACAGGUGGUCAGGUAGAGAAUACCAAGGCGCUUGAGAGAACUCGGGUGAAGGAACUAGGCAAAAUGGUGCCGUAACUUCGGGAGAAGGCACGCUGAUAUGUAGGUGAAGUCCCUCGCGGAUGGAGCUGAAAUCAGUCGAAGAUACCAGCUGGCUGCAACUGUUUAUUAAAAACACAGCACUGUGCAAACACGAAAGUGGACGUAUACGGUGUGACGCCUGCCCGGUGCCGGAAGGUUAAUUGAUGGGGUCAGCGCAAGCGAAGCUCUUGAUCGAAGCCCCGGUAAACGGCGGCCGUAACUAUAACGGUCCUAAGGUAGCGAAAUUCCUUGUCGGGUAAGUUCCGACCUGCACGAAUGGCGUAAUGAUGGCCAGGCUGUCUCCACCCGAGACUCAGUGAAAUUGAACUCGCUGUGAAGAUGCAGUGUACCCGCGGCAAGACGGAAAGACCCCGUGAACCUUUACUAUAGCUUGACACUGAACAUUGAGCCUUGAUGUGUAGGAUAGGUGGGAGGCUUUGAAGUGUGGACGCCAGUCUGCAUGGAGCCGGCCUUGAAAUACCACCCUU